rnacentral:rRNA from 1 species
CAGUCGCCGCGGGAAUACAGAGGGUGCAAGCGUUAAUCGGAAUUACUGGGCGUAAAGCGCGCGUAGGUGGUUUGUUAAGUUGAAUGUGAAAUCCCCGGGCUCAACCUGGGAACUGCAUCCAAAACUGGCAAGCUAGAGUAGGGCAGAGGGUGGUGGAAUUUCCUGUGUAGCGGUGAAAUGCGUAGAUAUAGGAAGGAACACCAGUGGCGAAGGCGACCACCUGGGCUCAUACUGACACUGAGGUGCGAAAGCGUGGGGAGCAAACAGGAUUAGAUACCCGUGUAGUCCCUGUCUCUUAUAC